rnacentral:rRNA from 1 species
UGGGGAAUUUUGGACAAUGGGCGAAAGCCUGAUCCAGCAAUGCCGCGUGUGUGAAGAAGGCCUUCGGGUUGUAAAGCACUUUUGUCCGGAAAGAAAUCCUUGGCUCUAAUACAGUCGGGGGAUGACGGUACCGGAAGAAUAAGCACCGGCUAACUACGUGCCAGCAGCCGCGGUAAUACGUAGGGUGCAAGCGUUAAUCGGAAUUACUGGGCGUAAAGCGUGCGCAGGCGGUUUGCUAAGACCGAUGUGAAAUCCCCGGGCUCAACCUGGGAACUGCAUUGGUGACUGGCAGGCUAGAGUAUGGCAGAGGGGGGUAGAAUUCCACGUGUAGCAGUGAAAUGCGUAGAGAUGUGGAGGAAUACCGAUGGCGAAGGCAGCCCCCUGGGCCAAUACUGACGCUCAUGCACGAAAGCGUGGGGGAGCAAACAGGAUUAGAUACCCUGGGUAGUCCACGCCCUAAACGAUGUCAACUAGUUGUUGGGGAUUCAUUUCCUAGUAACGUAGCUAACGCGUGAAGUUGACCGCCU